AUUGAACGCUGUCGGCAGGCCUAACACAUGCAAGUCGAACGAGUGGCGGACGGGUGAGUAAUGUCUGGGAAACUGCCUGAUGGAGGGGGAUAACUACUGGAAACGGUCGCUAAUACCGCAUACCCUCAGAUGUGCCCAGAUGGGAUUAGCUUGUUGGUGGGGUAACGGCUCACCAAGGCGACGAUCCCUAGCUGGUCUGAGAGGAUGACACGCCACACUGGAACGGAGAAACGGUCCAGACUCAUACGGGAGGCAGCAGUGGGGAUGAUUGCAAAAUGGGCGCAAGCCUGAUGCAGCCAUGCCGCGGGUAUGAAGAAGGCCUUCGGGUUGUAAAGUACUUUCAGCGGGGAGGCGUUACCCGCAGAAGAAGCACCGGCUAACUCCGUGCCAGCAGCCGCGGUAAUAC
rnacentral:rRNA from 1 species